rnacentral:rRNA from 1 species
AAUAGAUACCCCGUAGUCCACGCCGUAAACGAUGAGUGCUAAGUGUUAGAGGGUUUCCGCCCUUUAGUGCUGCAGCUAACGCAUUAAGCACUCCGCCUGGGGAGUACGGCCGCAAGGCUGAAACUCAAAGGAAUUGACGGGGGCCCGCACAAGCGGUGGAGCAUGUGGUUUAAUUCGAAGCAACGCGAAGAACCUUACCAGGUCUUGACAUCCUCUGCCAACCCUAGAGAUAGGGCGUUCCCCUUCGGGGGACAGAGUGACAGGUGGUGCAUGGUUGUCGUCAGCUCGUGUCGUGAGAUGUUGGGUUAAGUCCCGCAACGAGCGCAACCCUUGAUCUUAGUUGCCAGCAUUCAGUUGGGCACUCUAAGGUGACUGCCGGUGACAAACCGGAGGAAGGUGGGGAUGACGUCAAAUCAUCAUGCCCCUUAUGACCUGGGCUACACACGUGCUACAAUGGAUGGUACAAAGAGCUGCGAACCCGCGAGGGUAAGCGAAUCUCAUAAAGCCAUUCUCAGUUCGGA